rnacentral:lncRNA from 1 species
AGAAUCAUUAAGUUCUAUGAAAAUCAUAAGCAUUGACGAGACACUUGUAACUAUGAAUUGCAUGAAACUUAUGCCAAGAAUUUACUUAACACGGUUGUGACGAACAACCUUUACUACUUGUGAAUAUAAGUUCAUAACGAUUAGGUGAAACUCCCUUAUAUCCUAGCAUCAUAUUUAUGCAUGGAAAUUAAGCGUGCACUCUCAACCAACAUACACAAAUAAGUUUUAAUUCAAAUGGAUAAGUAAAUUGAAUUCACAACUUAUAAAUCACAAUUGAAAGUUAUCAAAUCAUAUUGCAAGCAUGAAUAUGGUUUCGAAUUCCCCCUAGCUAAGGGCGGUUUAGUUUCUCAUACUUACAAAGCAAAGAUAAACAAAUUUAGACAUUGAAAACAAAAGAAAGAAAACACCUAAACGCUCCAACGAUCCAAGUUGGACAGCAAGCACAUCCAAGCACUUUCCUUCCCUUCCUUUGCUACGGCACAAGGUGUUGGUGAGUGUUUGAAGGUUUGUUUGUAUGGAGGAAUGGAUGUGAGGAUGAAUGGAAGUGUUUGGAUGAAGGUUGUAUCGAAAUGGGGAUGAAUUCUCUAGCAAAAAUUGAAUGUCAUGGUUGCCAUACACACUUCCUUUUAUAGAGGAAGUGCACGGCAUGGAGGAGGAUGCAUGGUUGUGAGCAAUGAUUUCAAAGGUGAAAGUGAAGUGAUGCAACAGCAAGGGGGGUGAAAAUGGAGUGGUGUUGAAGCUAUGAAUGCAAGUGGGGAACAUGAAUGACACAUGGCAAAAAUAAAUGGAAAAAAAGAAAUGCCAUUGCCAAUGUUGUGCUCAAUGUAUGUAUUGUUCACCAACAGCACAUGAACAAGUUAAUGAUGAAUGCAAUGCAUUGCCAGCCCAUGCCAUGCCCAUGUAUGUUGUAGUCAACUUUCAAACAACUUUACAUGUCAACAUACUUUUGUCAACAGUCAUGCCUUGCAUCUUCUUAGCUGUGCAUUUCCACUUGCUCCAAAGCCAAAUUAAAUGUGAGUGUUCAAAACAAAUGCCUUUACUGCCAAAUCAAAUGCCUUUUAGUGUUAGAUUUGCUCCAAAUUCUCUUAGACAAGUAUUGCUCAGCAUCAAUUCUUCAUUCUCAUUCAUGAGCUGUUCGUCAUGCACAGUUUUGACGAAUUUGUUACUUAAUAACUCAUUUGUGCUACUUUUCAUUUCUUUGCUUGAUAAAUCACACAAAGCACAAAAACAUAGUAAAUAGCUCAAAAAUAUAAGGAACUAACUAAGAAAAGACAAGUGAAUUUUAUGUAAAAUAUAUAUAAAUAUGAGCUUAUCAAAUACCCCCACACUUAGCUUUUGCUAGUCCUCGAGCAAAAUAAAGAAAACAAAACACAACCUAAACCUUCCAACGUUUGCCUCAGAGAUUUCCAACGCACAUGACAAGUUAAAAAUCAUCAUUCCCACAGAUUUUAGUCAACUUAAAACUUGAGCACAUACUUAAUUACAGUCACCACUUACUAGUUCACAUUUAACCAAUUAAAACGAUGUUUUGAAUGUAGUAACAUGCCUUAGGGAAUUUGCUCAAUUCCUUACAAGAUAUGCACUCAAUUUUCACUCAGAUUUUCUGACUACACACCCUACACUAGGUACAUGUGAGAAGAUUGAUGUAAACAUGAAAACUAGUACUCACAUAUAUGUAUAACAAGAAAGCAUUUUCUGGUAUUAAUAAGCAUGUUUAGAUAUGAUCUCAUGAAUGGAAUGCUACUACUUAGAUGCGAGAACCAGUGACACCAUAUGCUCAUUGAUGCGAUGAAAGUUAAGCACUCAAAUUAAACCCUCUGUUGUCAAAUUGUAGUAUAAAUGGAAGUAGAAAUCGUUCUAAACCGGGGAUUAGGAGGGCUUGCUAAAAUCUCUAAACUAACUCAAAAACAUAAAAACAAAGUAAAAACGUUUGAAUAGACUCACAAGACUCAAAACAAAGCCACAAGACUCAAAACAGAUUAUAGAGACUCAAAACUGCCUAAAAACAACUCCAAGGCAGUUUCUGCCACUAACACUAAGUUUGGAGGAAAAUUGAUUUUAUCUUGACUUAAAACACUUAAAAACACAAUCUAAAACAAGUACUAACUAAUAUGACUUUAAUAAAAUAAGGGGAUUUUGGUUUUGGACGAAAAUAAGGAAAACAAAGCAAGAAUAAUUUAAACAGAUUCUAAGACAAAUUUAGGUGAAUUGAUGGGUGAUGGGUUAAACCAUGGAUGAUGGGCUAGCUAGAGGGUUCUUCUCCACACAUGACACAUUUGCAUAUAAAAUGAUUUCCAGUUGCUUUUCAAUAAACCAUGAACCUCAACACCCCAGAUUAAUUAGGUAUGCUUAAAUUAAUUCUCAGAUUUUCCUAAUUUCAUUGAAUUGGAUGAUUGCAUACAACAACCCAAAGCAUUCCCCACAAGUUCCCUACAUGAAUUGCAUAAUAGAGAUACAAGCAAGAAUCAUUAAGUUCUAUGAAAAUCAUAAGCAUUGAUGAAACACCUGUAACUAUGAAUUGCAUGAAACUUAUGCCAAGAAUUUACUUAACACGGUUGUGACGAACAACCUUUACUACUUGUGAAUAUAAGUUCAUAACGAUUAGGUGAAACUCCCUUUUAUCCUAGCAUCAUAUUUAUGCAUGGAAAUUAAGCGUGCACUCUCAACCAACAUACACAAAUCAGUUUUAAUUCAAAUGGAUAAGUAAAUUGUCACAACUUAUGAAUCACAACUGAAAGUAAUCAAAUGAUAUUGCAAGCAUGAACAUGGUUUCGAAUUCCCCCUAGCUAAGGGGGGUUUAGUUUCUCAUACUUACAAAGCAAAGAUAAACAAAUUUAGACAUUGAAAACAAAAGAAAGAAAACACCUAAACGCUCAAACGAUCCAAGUUGGACAGCAAGCACAUCCAAGCACUUUCCUUCCCUUCCUUUGCUACGGCACAAGGUGUUGGUGAGUGUUUGAAGGUUUGUUUGUAUGGAGGAAUGGGUGUGAGGAUGAAUGGAAGUGUUUGGAUGAAGGUUGUAUCGAAAUGGGGAUGAAUUCUCUAGCAAAAAUUGAAUGUAAUGGCAGCCACACACACUUCCUUUUAUAGAGGAAGUGCAUGGCAUGGAGGGAUGGAUGGUUGUGUGAGCAAUGAUUCAAAGGUGAAAGUGAAGUAAUGAUGCAAAGCAUGGAGGGUAAAAUGAAGUGGUGUUGCAGCUAUGAAUGCAAGUGGGGAACAUGAAUGAUUGUGCACAUGGUAGAUAAAGGAAAGGGAGGUGGAAUGGUUAAAUGUAAUGGUGCAUGAAAACAGAAAUAAUGAAGGGGACAAGGAUGAGUGUUGUGGUAAUGAGUGAAUGUAGUGGUGUAUUUUCUGCCCAUGCCGUGCCUUUCCUUUGCCCACAUUUGUGUGUUUCCUUUGCCCAUGUGUGUGUGUUUUUCCUUUGCAUUUGCACACACAUGUUCUUCAUUAUUUCAGCCAACAAUCCACCCAUUUUCUGCCCAUGCCAAACUGUCCAUGCCAUGCCUUUCUCUUUGUGUGUGUGUUAUCCAUGUUUCUUCCAUGUGCCUUGUUCAUCUUCUAGCUGUGCAUUUCCACUUGCUCCAAAUCCAAAUGAGUGCAAUCAUAACCCCAUUUGCUGCUGAGUGUUGAUGACAAAGAAAAACACAAAACAAGUGCCUUUACUUUCUCAUUUUAUUAGUCAAAUCUGCUUAGCCCUUUCUGAACCUUUAAGUGUUACAAUGACCAUAACUUUUUCUAGAAAAAUGAUAUUAACAAUCCGUAAAUUUCUCCAGAAAAUAGACAUCCGUAGAUUUCCACACAUAUAAGGCUCAUUCUCUCAUUCAUUCUGAGCUGUUCGUAACAUGCUUCCAAAGUCAGCUAAUCUGCACAGGCAGUUUUGACGAAUUUGUUACUUAAUAACUCACUU